CCAGGGGGCGGUGUGCGCCCCCGGCGCUGGAGCAGCCGCGUUUCGGGGACCCGGGCAGGCGUGGGGGGCUGCGCUGAGCUCCAGGCCUCCUGCAGGUGCAAUAAGAAUCGUAUUACUAAUGUGGUGUCCUCUGGAAUGGUCACAUGAACACAGUUCCCUGCAGAUGUAAUUGGGAGAGAAGGCACAGUCCUGACACAGGGUAAGACUGUGGAGGUGUAUUGCUGUCCCUACCAGGACGGAACAUGCUGCUGGUUUUUCCAUGUCUCGGUCUCCUUCUGCUGAGUAUUCUUCUAUUUCAAUCAUGGGUGUAGCAGCCCAUUUCAACAUACUGAAAACACUCACCCUAGGGCUUUCAAGUCCCUGCUGUGGACAAUCUGCAUGUGACAGCUGAGACAGGAGGAAGAGGCCCAAGGGAACGCAUUCCUGCUAGGACAGAGCUGGCUGGCUGCACAGUGGAGAGUGUUUGCUGGAAGCUGCUACCAGCCAUGGGGCACCUACCCGCCCAGCGGCCCUUGCAUCCAGAUGCAGAGCCCUGGACAAAGGACGGAGCUGUGAAAACAGUGCCUGGAGGAUCUGAUCCCUUCUAGCAAGGCCAAGAGACACGGCUGGGCUGGGGAGGACGGGGUCUCCAGGCCUCACCAUGGCCACUUAUCUAGACGCCAGCAUCAAAAGGUUCAAAGCCCAGGUCACAGGCUCAUGAAAAAAUUAAGCAGGUAUCAAAAAAUAUCACAAAGGCAACAGUUUUAUGACAUGAAAACAUCUAUCAGAGACAAUAUAAACCUGUCUGCUAAUAGAACCAGGAUUGGACUUUCCCAGGAUGACCAGGUCGCAAGGGUUGAGAUGACAAAAUCCCCUUAUGGAUGGGACUUCUUGGUCCUGGGUUCCCUUGACUGUGGCUUCCAGAAGAGAAGAGCUUUGGAGUCCUGCUGAGAGUGCCAAAACUGUGGGGGCCAAGAGAUAACUCUCCCUUCACCCUCUGAAGUUUCACUGAAACAUCAACCGACAAAAAGCAGAUUAAUAGGAGAAAUGGCAUACGAAUGUGUUAAGGUGCGUGGAGGGAAUAUCACAGAGUGGUUACCCCAACCCCUCAAUGGUGUACAGAGCUUAUAUACCAUCCUGAGCUUCCAAAAAGAAUAAAGGCUAACAGCAUAU
rnacentral:lncRNA from 1 species